rnacentral:rRNA from 1 species
AACGGCCGUACCAUGCUGAAUAUACCGGUUCUCGUUAGAUCACCGAAGUUAAGCAUUAUUGGCGCGUGGUCAGUACUUGGGUGGGUGACCACCUGGGGAA